rnacentral:tRNA from 1 species
GCGGGUGUAGCUCAAUGGUAGAGCAGAAGCUUCCCAAGCUUACGACGAGGGUUCUGAUUCCCUUCACCCGCUCCA